rnacentral:rRNA from 1 species
GAUGAACGCUGGCGGCGUGCCUAAUACAUGCAAGUCGAGCGAACAGACGAGGAGCUUGCUCCUCUGACGUUAGCGGCGGACGGGUGAGUAACACGUGGAUAACCUACCUAUAAGACUGGGAUAACUUCGGGAAACCGGAGCUAAUACCGGAUAAUAUAUUGAACCGCAUGGUUCAAUAGUGAAAGACGGUUUUGCUGUCACUUAUAGAUGGAUCCGCGCCGCAUUAGCUAGUUGGUAAGGUAACGGCUUACCAAGGCAACGAUGCGUAGCCGACCUGAGAGGGUGAUCGGCCACACUGGAACUGAGACACGGUCCAGACUCCUACGGGAGGCAGCAGUAGGGAAUCUUCCGCAAUGGGCGAAAGCCUGACGGAGCAACGCCGCGUGAGUGAUGAAGGUCGUCGGAUCGUAAAACUCUGUUAUUAGGGAAGAACAAAUGUGUAAGUAACUAGGCACGUCUUGACGGUACCUAAUCAGAAAGCCACGGCUAACUACGUGC